AAGUCGUAACAAGGUUUCCGUAGGUGAACCUGCGGAAGGAUCAUUAAUAAACUAGUCGUUCGUGUAGGGGUAACCUGAUCAUCACGAUGUAAGCUCACUAGUCACCCUUGAAUAAACUACCUUUGUUGCUUUGGCGGGCCGCCCCUCGGGGCCAGCGGCUCCGGCUGCUGCGUUGCCCGCCAGAGGACCACAACUCUUGUUUUUAGUGAUGUCUGAGUACUAUAUAAUAGUUAAAACUUUCAACAACGGAUCUCUUGGUUCUG
rnacentral:misc_RNA from 1 species